AAUAGAUACCCUGGUAGUCCACGCCGUAAACGAUGAGUGCUAAGUGUUAGAGGGUUUCCGCCCUUUAGUGCUGCAGCAAACGCAUUAAGCACUCCGCCUGGGGAGUACGGUCGCAAGACUGAAACUCAAAGGAAUUGACGGGGGCCCGCACAAGCGGUGGAGCAUGUGGUUUAAUUCGAAGCAACGCGAAGAACCUUACCAGGUCUUGACAUCCCGUGACAACUCUAGAGAUAGGGCUUUCCCCUUCGGGGGACACGGUGACAGGUGGUGCAUGGUUGUCGUCAGCUCGUGUCGUGAGAUGUUGGGUUAAGUCCCGCAACGAGCGCAACCCUUGAUCUUAGUUGCCAGCAUUCAGUUGGGCACUCUAAGGUGACUGCCGGUGACAAACCGGAGGAAGGUGGGGAUGACGUCAAAUCAUCAUGCCCCUUAUGACCUGGGCUACACACGUGCUACAAUGGAUGGUACAAAGGGGCAGCGAAACCGCGAGGGUUAAGCCAAUCCCAUAAAACCAUUCUCAGUUCGGAUUGCAGGCUGCAACG
rnacentral:rRNA from 1 species